rnacentral:rRNA from 1 species
GAUGAACGCUGGCGGCGUGCCUAAUACAUGCAAGUCGAGCGAACGGACGAGAAGCUUGCUUCUCUGAUGUUAGCUGCGGACGGGUGAGUAACACGUGGAUAACCUACCUAUAAGACUGGGAUAACUUCGGGAAACCGGAGCUAAUACCGGAUAAUAUUUUGAACCGCAUGGUUCAAAAGUGAAAGAAGGUCUUGCUCUCACUUAUAGAUGGAUCCGCGCUGCAGUAGCUAGUUGGUAAGGUAACGGCUUACCAAGGCAACGAUGCAUAGCCGACCUGAGAGGGUGAUCGCCAAUACUGGAACUAAGACACGGUCCAGACUCCUACGGAAGGCAGCAGUAGGGAAUCGUCCGCAAUGGGCGAAAGCCUGACGGAGCAACGCCGCGUGAGUGAUGAAGGUCUUCGGAUCGUAAAACUCUGUUAUUCGGGAAGAACAUAUGUGUAAGUAAAUGUGCACAUCUUGACGGUACCUAGUCAGAAAGCCACGGCUAACUACGUG